GACGAACGCUGGCGGCGUGCUUAACACAUGCAAGUCGAACGCUGAAGACCUGGCUUUUGUUGGGUUGGAUGAGUGGCGAACGGGUGAGUAACACGUGAGUAACCUGCCCUCUUCUUUGGGAUAACGCCCGGAAACGGGUGCUAAUACUGGAUAUUCACUGAUCUUCGCAUGGGGGUUGGUGGAAAGGUUUGUUCUGGUGGGGGAUGGGCUCGCGGCCUAUCAGCUUGUUGGUGGGGUGAUGGCCUACCAAGGCUUUGACGGGUAGCCGGCCUGAGAGGGUGACCGGGCACAUUGGGACUGAGAUACGGCCCAGACUCCGACGGGAGGCAGCAGUGGGGAAUAUUGCACAAUGGGCGAAAGCCUGAUGCAGCGACGCCGCGUGAGGGAUGGAGGCCUUCGGGUUGUAAACCUCUUUCGCUCAUGGUCAAGCCGCAACUGUGGGUUGUGGUGAGGGUAGUGGGUAAAGAAGCGCCGGCUAACUACGUG
rnacentral:rRNA from 1 species